UUUGAUCCUGGCUCAGAACGAACGCUGGCGGCAGGCCUAACACAUGCAAGUCGAGCGAGACCUUCGGGUCUAGCGGCGGACGGGUUAGUAACGCGUGGGAACGUGCCCUUCUCUGCGGAAUAGCCACUGGAAACGGUGAGUAAUACCGCAUACGCCCUUCGGGGGAAAGAUUUAUCGGAGAAGGAUCGGCCCGCGUUAGAUUAGAUAGUUGGUGGGGUAACGGCCUACCAAGUCUACGAUCUAUAGCUGGUUUUAGAGGAUGAUCAGCAACACUGGGACUGAGACACGGCCCAGACUCCUACGGGAGGCAGCAGUGGGGAAUCUUAGACAAUGGGCGCAAGCCUGAUCUAGCCAUGCCGCGUGUGUGAUGAAGGUCUUAGGAUCGUAAAGCACUUUCGCCCAGGGAUGAUAA
rnacentral:rRNA from 1 species